rnacentral:rRNA from 1 species
AGAGUUUGAUCCUGGCUCAGGAUGAACGCUAGCGGCAGGCCUAACACAUGCAAGCCGAGGGGUAACAGGGGAUUCGUCCUGCUGACGACCGGCGCACGGGUGAGUAACGCGUAUGCAACCUACCCUUUACAGAGGGAUAGCUUCCGGAAACGGAAAUUAAUAUCUCAUAGUAUUUUCGAUUCACCUGGAUUGAUUAUUAAAACUUCGGUGGUAAAGGAUGGGCAUGCGUGCCAUUAGUUAGUUGGUGAGGUAACGGCUCACCAAGACUGUGAUGGCUAUGGGGUCUAAAAGGAUGGUCCCACACACUGGUACUGAGACACGGACCAGACUCCUACGGGAGGCAGCAGUGAGGAAUAUUGGUCAAUGGGUGAAAGCCUGAACCAGCCAUGCCGCGUGCAGGAUGACGGCCCUAGUGGUUGUAAACUGCUUUUACAUGAGAAGAAUAAUAGCUACGUGUAGUUAUAUGCCUGUAUCAUGAGAAUAAGCAUCGGCUAACUCCGUGCCAGCAGCCGCGGUAAUACGGAGGAUGCGAGCGUUAUCCGGAUUUAUUAGGUUUAAAGGGUGCGUAGGCUGUAUUGUAAGUCAGUGGUGAAAUCUUUCGGCUUAACCGGAAAACUGCCAUUGAUACUGCAUUACUUGAGUAUAGUUGAGGUAGGCGGAAUGUGUAAUGUAGCGGUGAAAUGCAUAGAUAUUACACAGAACACCGAUUGCGAAGGCAGCUUACUAAGCUAUUACUGACGCUGAUGCACGAAAGCGUGGGGAGCGAACAGGAUUAGAUACCCUGGUAGUCCACGCUGUAAACGAUGAGCACUCGCUGUAGGCGAUACACAGUCUGUGGCUGAGCGAAAGCAUUAAGUGCUCCACCUGGGGAGUACGUCGGCAACGAUGAAACUCAAAGGAAUUGACGGGGGCCCGCACAAGCGGUGGAACAUGUGGUUUAAUUCGAUGAUACGCGAGGAACCUUACCUGGGUUUAAAUUUAGAAUGACGAGUUUUGAAAGAGACUCUCCCUUCGGGGCAUUUUAGAAGGUGCUGCAUGGCUGUCGUCAGCUCGUGCCGUGAGGUGUCGGGUUAAGUCCCAUAACGAGCGCAACCCCUAUCGCUAGUUGCCAACGAGUAAUGUCGGGGACUCUAGCGAGACUGCCACCGUAAGGUGUGAGGAAGGUGGGGAUGACGUCAAGUCAGCACGGCCCUUACGUCCAGGGCUACACACGUGUUACAAUGGCCGGUACGAAGGGCAGCUACAUGGUGACAUGAUGCUAAUCUCUAAACCCGGUCCCAGUUCGGAUCGAAGUCUGCAACUCGACUUCGUGAAGCUGGAAUCGCUAGUAAUCGCGUAUCAGCAACGACGCGGUGAAUACGUUCCCGGGCCUUGUACACACCGCCCGUCACCAUGGGAGUUGGUUGCACCAGAAGUAGGUAGCUUAACCUUCGGGAGGGCGCUUACCACGGUGUGGUCAAUGACUGGGGUGAAGUCGUAACAAGGUA